CAGCACCUCAAGUGGUCAGGAUGAUUAUUGGGCCUAAAGCAUCCGUAGCCGGCGCUGUAAGUUUUCGGUUAAAUCUGUACGCUCAACGUACAGGCUGCCGGGAAUACUGCAGCGCUAGGGAGUGGGAGAGGUAGACGGUACUCGGUAGGAAGGGGUAAAAUCCUUUGAUCUAUUGAUGACCACCUGUGGCGAAGGCGGUCUACCAGAACCCGUCCGACGGUGAGGGAUGAAAGCUGGGGGAGCAAACCGGAUUAGAUACCCGAGUAGUCC
rnacentral:rRNA from 1 species